CCAUCAGAUGCGGAUCUUGGAGGGCCUCCUUUGCAACUCGGAAUGGUAAGCAUACGGAAUGGGGCAGGUUAUUAGGGCUGUGUCUGGAUAGCUUGCACUGUUUUAGAUCCCUUUUUCUGAAAGAAUAUUUGCACUGCUUUAUUGAAUUUUUAAAAAAUAACAAAUAAUAUAAUACUAAAUUUUAUUUAUAUCCCGCCCUCCCCGGCCAGAGCCGGGCUCAGGGCGGCUAACAUCAGUAAAAUUACUGAUUACAGGUUAAAAUGCAGUUUAAAAUGCAGCCUCAUUUUAAAAGUAGCCCAUAGAUCAAAACCAUAAAGGGAGGGAAACAUAUAUACGCAUUUUGUGUUUGACUUAGUUGGAAGACGCACACAAACACAACACAUAUUUAUAUUAUAUGUAUCAGCUGGCAUUAAAAACAAUAAUAAUUCCCUGAGAGUUAUCAGUUCAUUUUAACAGAUUUCCUCUCUCUUGCGCAUAUUUUGCAUAGCCUCAUUGUAUGCCGCUUAAAAACUACGGGCGUUAAGCAGCAUAAAAAUGCCUGGAAUAAAUAAAUAAAUACCGUAUGAUUUUUAAAAAUUACUUGCAAGAGGACUCUUCAGGACGUCUGAAGCAAUAGAGAAUAAAUUAAACCCAGCUAACAUAAGACCUAAUAAUUUAAAUGGGUCUACUCUGAGUAUGAGGUGGUGGUGGUGGAAGAACCCUUAAAACGAAUCGGGGGAUGUUGUUUUCCUGAGAAUGUUUGUCCUACUCAGGGUAGACCUACUAAUAUGAACGGACACAACUCAUUUAGGCUCCACACUUCAGUUAAGCCUUAGGCGGCUAAAGUCCUUUUGGUAGAUGACUUAACAGAUUUUAAAUAUUAAGCACUUAAGAAAUGCUAUUAAAUAACUCUGGCUGUUGGGCGGGGGGUGAGCGGUGAAAUAUUUCUGCAUUGCAGGGGGAUGGAGUAGAUGACCCUCAGGAGACCCUUCAAAUUCUAUAUAUAGAGAGAAUUUUUGUGCACUUGUAUCGGCCCUCAUGCACAAGCCUUUCUUUCUUGUGUUCCAAGGGGGCUGCAUGUGGGUCUCCCCUUCACCCACCCUAUAUUCUCCCUACAACAACUGCACCAGGCAGAUCAGGCUGGGUCAGUUUUAGAGCUGAGAGGGGUCUGAACCCAUGGGUCUCUUAACCCAACUGCAGUCCAAUACUCUAACCACUAUACCACACUGUGCAGCACUAAAAAAAAGGCUGCGAGAACCUGCCGCAGAUGGGUGUCUUGCCCAGUACGGCAUGCAUUGGAAGUUUUAAAACAGAUGUUAGGUGUUUUACCUCCUGGUGUGAGAAUGAGGGAGUUGCACUGGUGAGUCUAGCAUUGUGUGGAUGAUUAAAGUUUGGCAGAGUCCACAUGUCAGUUUUGUAGCAGGGGAGCGGGUUCAAAUUCUCAGUGUGAGUUUCCCACACCUAAAAUUCCAUUCCUUCUCCUUCCAGCUCCCCACUCGCCAAAGUCUGCUGCGGAGCGAAACCGACCCAUUGAGGUUCCAGGCUGGAUAUCAUCAUAUACUGUAAGUUGGAAUGAGACACUACAGUAUAGAUGAUGUACUACCUUGAACUCCUGGAGCCGCCGAGAUCCCAAAGCAACCCUUUUGUUGUCCUCAGCGCUCCCCACCGGAGCUGAGGUUGGGCUGAGCCCAGCUUGGUUGGGGUGGUUGGAUAGAAACUGAUUAUUUUAAAAGCGCAGAGCCCAGCUUUAUUUUUAAGACCUUUCCACCGGUGGUCUUCACCCCACCAGAAUGACUGUGAAAUAUGGGACCUUCUCUGUCUCCCCCGCCAUUAAAUCUAGGUAUUUCAGAGCAGUGCAGUUCACCUAUGGAACUCCUUCCCACAGGAGGAAGAGAUGGCUACCAGCUUGGAUGGCUUUAAAAGAAUAGACAAAUUCACAGAGGGCUAUUAAUGGCUACUAGCUGCAAUGACUGUACUCUGCCUCCAUAGCUGGAGACAGUGAGGCUUCUGAAUACCAGUUGUUGGAUCCGUUUGGCCCCUGUGAGUACAGAAUGCUGAGCUAGAUGGGCCUGAUCCAGCAGAGCUCUUCUGACCUUCUUCUACGUCCCUCCAGAUGUUGCUAGACUCAGCCCCCUUCUGCCCUGAUCCUUGCAACAUCUGGAGAACAACAGGGUCCCUAUCCCUGACAGUAAUGAGGGGAAAGGCACCCUUCUUUAGUCUUCCAUUGGACCACAGGAAAUAUAUCUAAGAAGCUGACUUAUUGGCAGCUCAGACUGCGUGUCUUUUCUAGCCCAAGAUUUUUCACUUGCCUUAGCAGCAGUUCUUCAGAAAAAAGAUUUUCCCAUCGUCCUUUUUGGAAAAAAGCUAGAACCAGCCUAGAGUUUGUUUUGCUGGGUGUGUGCGUGUGCGUGUGUGCAACAUUGACUGGACAAGAAGAAGAAAAUGCAGUCCUGCUCAGAAGACAAAUCUCGCGGGGUGUCAGCAAAACCGUUACCAUUACUGAGUUUAGUAAUGGUAAUGGUUCUUCUGCCAUCUUGCCCACCAUCUGACUCCACAGAAGCAGGAAUUUCAGCUUCAUCUGAUGAAAGAGGGCUCCUUUUCACAUCGGCCUAUAUCAGGCCACUUCUUUCUUGCUCCUGUAAGAAAUAAAAAAAGUUCUAGAAGCUUUUGCGUUUCCCUUUUAUUUGCAGAGGGAGGGGUUCCCAAGGAUGGCCAACUGGAGCACACGUCUGGGCAUAAAGCCUGUGGUAUUUAUUUUUAUUUAUUUAUAAAACAUUUGCAUACUGUGUCAUAUAAAAUAUAUAAAGGAGGUUGACCGC